UACAGAGGUUGCAAACGUUGUUCGGAAUCACUGGGCAUAAAGCGCACGUAGGCGGCUAAGUAAGUGUGGAGUGAAAUCCCACGGCUCACCCGUGGAACGGCUUCGCAUACUGCUCGGCUCGAGGAAGGUAGGGGAGAGCAGAACUCUUGGAGGAGCGGUGAAAUGCGUAGAUAUCAAGAGGAAUACCAGUGGCGAAGGCGGCUCUCUGGUCCGUUUCUGACGCUGAGGUGCGAAAGCUAGGGUAGCAAACGGG
rnacentral:rRNA from 1 species